UACAGAGGUCCCAAGCGUUGUUCGGAUUUAUUGGGCGUAAAGGGUGCGUAGGCGGCGGAGUAAGUUGGGUGUGAAAUCCCGGGGCUCAACCUCGGAAUUGCAUUCAAUACUGCUUCGCUCGAAUACUGGAGAGGAGACUGGAAUUUACGGUGUAGCAGUGAAAUGCGUAGAUAUCGUAAGGAAGGCCGGUGGCGAAAGCGAGUCUCUGGACAGUUACUGACGCUGAUGCACGAAGGCCAGGGGAGCAAACGGG
rnacentral:rRNA from 1 species